AGCUAUGGCUAUUGCACCCUGAAUAAGCCCAAUCUCAUUUACUGUUAAAAGCUAACAAGGCUGGGCCUAGAUUGGAUUCAGAAUGGAGACUACAUGGGAAUACUGGGUGCCAUUGAAU
rnacentral:rRNA from 1 species